ACAACAUCAAAAACAGUCCUUCUCAGGACUUUAUUAACCUGGACGAUCAUCAUUUACAAACAGAAUUCCAUUAUUAAUAACUACUAAACUGCCUGCAUUACGAAUUUCAAUCGCCAGGUAUAGUGGAAUAUUUCGAAAUUUUACAAAUAACGAAAAACCUAAUUGUACAGAGAAGCUCAUACAGAAGGUGCGACGGGAGGGCAAAAAUGUUCACAAAGUGUGCGUCAUCUAAUGAAACUCAACUGAAACAAUUCAUCCAUUUAAGAUUCAGCAUCAUGCACAACAACUCUUGUAAAACUUAGGCCCAUUUCAAACGUCCAAACUUUACAUAUGCUGAAUGCAUUAUGAACAAAAGAUAGCUAAUGAGGAAUUUAGUCCCAUUUUUGAUAUUUAUUUUCGUCUUGUAUGUAAUCAGCUGUCUUGGAUGCCUUCCACUUGUCGACUGACGUUCUUUGUCUCAAUAUAUAAUACAGUGAAAUAAAAAUUUAGAGAAUUUUGGGACCUUGAAAAAUCUUGGAAUCUUGAACACCUUAACUACUGAUUUGUGACACAAAACGACAACCGAAUUCAGAAAGAGGCAAAAGUGAGCUGACCUGACGAGAUUGAGCGUUUUGUCUGCUUCACAUGAAUACGACAACGCUGGCAUGCGUUUUGGAAAGGCUCCAUUUUGGAAGACGUUUUUAGAAAAUGUCAUUUUCAUUGAUCGUAAACGAGUGCGAGGGAAAAGGAAUUGAAAAACGGAAAUAAAGUGGCAUUUUCUAAUGAAAAAGUAGAUGUCUUCUAAAAUUACCUAGGAUUAUGAACACAGGAAUCUUUUAAUUACUGAAUGUGUAGAUGGCAAGGUCAACCGUACCAGUAGAUGACAAUUCCUUAAAAGAAUUACUGGUGUUAGUGUUGACUGACGUUUUGACACAUUCAGGGUGUUUAGGUAAACAAUAAAGAUUUUAGGCUAUAUUGUACAUAAGACAUGUACAAACACUAUGAAGAUAAGCUUCAAUGGACAUCUGUUCAAAAAACAAAGUCAGAUACAAAAGAACGGAAAUAUUACGUGCUGUAAUUUUGAUAAACUGUAAAAAUACAUUAAUCAAAUUGA